GGAGUUAGCCGGUGCUUCUUCUGUGAGUGAUGUCCUUCCUGCCGGUUAUUGACCCGCAGGCCUUCUUCCUCACUGAAAGUGCUUUACAACCCGAAGGCCUUCUUCACACACGCGGCAUGGCUGGAUCAGGGUUGCCCCCAUUGUCCAAUAUUCCCCACUGCUGCCUCCCGUAGGAGUCUGGGCCGUGUCUCAGUCCCAGUGUGGCUGAUCAUCCUCUCAGACCAGCUACGGAUCGUCGCCUUGGUGAGCCGUUACCUCACCAACCAGCUAAUCCGACAUAGGCUCAUCCGAUAGCGCGAGGACCGAAGGUCCCCCGCUUUCCCCCGUAGGGCGUAUGCGGUAUUAGCCUGGGUUUCCCCAGGUUAUCCCCCACUACCGGGCAGAUUCCUAUGCAUUACUCACCCGUCCGCCGCUCGCCACCAGGGAGCAAGCUCCCCGUGCUGCCGCUCGACUUGCAUGUGUUAGGCCUGCCGCCAGCGUUCAAUCUGAGCCAGGAUCAAACUCUGA
rnacentral:rRNA from 1 species